ACCGUGGUAAUUCUAGAGCUAAUACAUGCUAAAAACCUCGACUUUUGAAGGGGUGUAUUUAUUAGAUAAAAAACCAAUGCCCUUCGGGGCUCUUUGGUGAUUCAUGAUAACUUAACGAAUCGCAUGGCCUUGCGCCGGCGAUGGUUCAUUCAAAUUUCUGCCCUAUCAACUUUCGAUGGUAGGAUAGUGGCCUACCAUGGUUUCAACGGGUAACGGGGAAUUAGGGUUCGAUUCCGGAGAGGGAGCCUGAGAAACGGCUACCACAUCCAAGGAAGGCAGCAGGCGCGCAAAUUACCCAAUCCCGACACGGGGAGGUAGUGACAAUAAAUACUGAUACAGGGCUCUUUUGGGUCUUGUAAUUGGAAUGAGUACAAUUUAAAUCCCUUAACGAGGAACAAUUGGAGGGCAAGUCUGGUGCCAGCAGCCGCGGUAAUUCCAGCUCCAAUAGCGUAUAUUAAAGUUGUUGCAGUUAAAAAGCUCGUAGUUGAACCUUGGGCCUGGCUGGCCGGUCCGCCUCACCGCGUGCACUGGUUCGGCCGGGCCUUUCCUUCUGGGAAGCCGCAUGCCCUUUACUGGGUGUGUUGGGGAACCAGGACUUUUACUUUGAAAAAAUUAGAGUGUUCAAAGCAGGCCUUUGCUCGAAUACAUUAGCAUGGAAUAAUAGAAUAGGACGUGCGGUCCUAUUUUGUUGGUUUCUAGGACCGCCGUAAUGAUUAAUAGGGAUAGUCGGGGGCAUCAGUAUUCAAUUGUCAGAGGUGAAAUUCUUGGAUUUAUUGAAGACUAACUACUGCGAAAGCAUUUGCCAAGGAUGUUUUCAUUAAUCAGUGAACGAAAGUUAGGGGAUCGAAGACGAUCAGAUACCGUCGUAGUCU
rnacentral:rRNA from 1 species